rnacentral:miRNA from 1 species
GUGGGGAUCACCUGGGGAUCUUGUUAAAACGCAGGGUUUGAUUCAGCCUGAGGUUCUGCAUUUCUAACAAGCUUCUAAGGAGACCAAAGU